rnacentral:rRNA from 1 species
CAGCAGCCGCGGUAAUACAGAGGGUGCAAGCGUUAAUCGGAUUUACUGGGCGUAAAGGGCGCGUAGGCGGCGCGGUAAGUCACUUGUGAAAUCUCUGAGCUUAACUCAGAACGGCCAAGUGAUACUGCUGUGCUAGAGUGCGGUAGAGGCAACCGGAAUUCUUGGUGUAGCGGUGAAAUGCGUAGAUAUCAAGAGGAACACCUGAGGCGAAGGCGGGUUGCUGGGCCGACACUGACGCUGAUGCGCGAAAGCCAGGGGAGCAAACGGGAUUAGAUACCCCUGUAGUCCCUGUCUCUUAUAC